AGUGAACGCUGGCGGUAGGCCUAACACAUGCAAGUCGAACGGCAGCACAGUAAGAGCUUGCUCUUACGGGUGGCGAGUGGCGGACGGGUGAGGAAUACAUCGGAAUCUACUUUUUCGUGGGGGAUAACGUAGGGAAACUUACGCUAAUACCGCAUACGACCUACGGGUGAAAGCAGGGGAUCUUCGGACCUUGCGCGAUUGAAUGAGCCGAUGUCGGAUUAGCUAGUUGGCGGGGUAAAGGCCCACCAAGGCGACGAUCCGUAGCUGGUCUGAGAGGAUGAUCAGCCAAACCUGAACCGAGAACCGGGCCCGAAUCCCAAGGGAGGCAGCCGGUGGGAAUAUUUGGCCAUGGGCGCAAGCCUGAUCCAGCCAAACCGGGGUGGGUAAGAAGGCCUUUCGGGUUGAAAAGCCCUUUUUUUGGAAAGAAAAGCAGCAGGUUAAUACCCCGCUGUUCUGACGGUACCCAAAGAAUAAGCACCGGCUAACUUCGUG
rnacentral:rRNA from 1 species